UUAAUUGACCCUUGGGUGAAUUAAUGGCCUGUGGGUGCAAAAAGCCAAGAAGAAUUAUCUCUGUGAGACACGCCAGGCUCUGCAAACACUCCGUAUGCCCAUAGGGGAGUGACUGCGUGGGCCUCAGCUUGUUCAUCUUGGGGAUGAAAGGGGAUGAACUACAUCAAGUCUGUCAAAUAGGCUCCUGAAGGGGAGAAGUGAAGUCUGAAGUGAAGGAAGUCGUCCUGCGACCCAUGGAUCCGGCUCAUGAAGCUAACAGACUACUCCCGGCUGGAGCUUCGGAAUAAAAUUUAGAAGGUGCCCAACACCUUGAUCAGUGCCUGCUUUGUAGUAGGCAUUCAAAUACUGUGGACUGGAUGAAUGGAGUCACUUCCCUUCCAACCUGCACACCAACGUGGUUGAACUGCCUCCUUUCUAAGUGCCAAAGUCUGUUUUACAAGGCUGUAAGUGAAAUCACUGACAUGGAAAUUAUAUUUUCAAAAUUAAAGGAACAAUUUUCUAAAGAAAUCUAGGUUCUCAAGAAGGAUGCCAGACAACUGGAGACUUUUCUCUAUGUCAGCAUCUUUCUACCCUGACAAGUUCUGACUGUGGGCUGGAGCCAGCUUCUGUGAACUCUCUCCACAGCUCCCUCUUCCUGAGGAUGGGGCUUGAGGGAUGGUACAGGGGCCUUUGGGAUUCCUCUUCAG
rnacentral:lncRNA from 10 species